AGAGUUUGAUCCUGGCUCAGGAUGAACGCUAGCGGCAGGCCUAACACAUGCAAGUCGAGGGGCAUCACGGAAAAGCUUGCUUUUCUGGUGGCGACCGGCGCACGGGUGCGUAACGCGUAUGCAACCUACCCAUUACAGGGGGAUAGCCCGGGGAAACUCGGAUUAAUACCCCAUAGUUUCCUGUUUUUGCAUAAUUACAGGAAUAAAGAUUUAUCGGUAGUGGAUGGGCAUGCGUCUGAUUAGCUAGUUGGUGAGGUAACGGCUCACCAAGGCGACGAUCAGUAGGGGGUCUGAGAGGAUGAUCCCCCACACUGGUACUGAGACACGGACCAGACUCCUACGGGAGG
rnacentral:rRNA from 1 species